rnacentral:tRNA from 1 species
AGGGCAGUGGCGCAACUGGCAGCGCAUCGGUCUCCAAAACCGGAGGUUGGGGGUUCAAGUCCCUCCUGCCCUGCGA